AAACCCUGCUGGUUUUUCCCACUGAUAGAAAAAAAGUGAGUGUCUUCUCAUGUGCCUGCUGCUGAGAACAGAGGGGAAGGGGGAACCCCUCCUACCAGCAGCCAAAACCUCAUUUCUCCCUCUCUGGUAUGGCAGAAGGUGGACAGUCAUAGGCAGAAGCUCCAUGCUUCUCCCGCUCAUGCCCCAUGGCUCUCAGGUAGGUGAACAAAGUGGACACCUGAGGCCAGGGUCAGGGAAAGCAGUCAGGAACUUUUACGUCUUAUUUCAGGCAGUGGUUAGAGCUGGCCUGCUGAUCUGGGAGGUCCCUAAAUUCCUUCUGAGAUGGAAAAACAUGCUCGGCCUUUUUUGACUUACGUUGGCUAUACAUGGUGGACGGAUUUUCACAUAGCAAACAUCCGACUGCUGCCCGUGCUCCUGCAGAAACUAAGGUGGUGACAGCUGCCCUCCAGAGAAAUGGUAGCAUACUUCUACAAAAAUUGUAUUUAUAAUUCUGAAAGCUUUUCUCUUUCCUCAGGACUGACUCGGAAGUUAAAUUGAACCUGUGGUUGCAUAGAGUCCCCUGCACUUGACACAAGCCACUUAUUCGGCCUGAGAUACUGCUGCACUGGAUGACCUGUUUUGUUUUGCCUGCCACCAGCAUGGAAGGAGAGCUGUUAGUCUGUUAGCAGAUUGUCUGGGUUUUGCUGGGCACAGACAGCAUGGGCCUGGGCACAACAGAUGCUGGGCAUGAGAGCAGGAAUGGGACCAAGGCUGGGUAAAAAUGUGAAGGCAGGAUGGGAACUGGGCUUGUGUGAAACGGUUUGUUGUGGGUAGAUGAUCCAGCAUAAGGUGAGCCGAGACCAGGCCAAGCCACGGCCCUGCUGAAAGUGGCCUUUGUUACCUGGGAGCAGCAACCCUGAGUGCCCUUUUUUAUUUCCCUUCUUCCACAGAAUUACUUCAAACAAACAGAAGUGUACCGAAGCAGCCAUGCCUUUUGCACUGGGAGCUCUCACGUCCUCUGUAAGCAGGGAGGGGCAGCUCGUGUCUGGGCCUACAGGCAGGUUCUGGAUUUUUGUGGACUUUGUUGCUGCCUAGAUUGUGCAUCGUGAGCUGGGAAAGAAAUCUCCACAUCACUUGAAGCUGCCACUGCCUAUAAGGUAACUAGAGCUGACAGUGGGCUUGUACGAGCACAGAGCUGUAAAUCACUGAAAUGUAUUGCACAUAAUUUCCUGGUGCCUGCUCUCCUUGGGAGCGGAGCCCUGCUGGGAUGAAUGUCAUUACACCGUGGAGGCUCCUGGCUCUGAUCCUCCUUUUGUUUGUCGUGGAAAUGGGGCUCUCUUCAGCUGAGGUGAAGUGAAUGACCCAGGCUGCUCCAGGGACACCAGCCUCCUGACUUUACAGUCACCUCGUGCUUCUGCCAUCCCACAAAAUGUGCAGUAUUUUAUUGCAGGCUCUCACCAUGGAUCAGCAGAAGUGUGGCAACUUGCUACAGCAGAACAGUGACUCCCACACUUGCUGCGCCAUGCACUGCAACAUCACUCCUCUCAAUGCUCUCACAGUUCAUUCAUGUGAGAUCUUUCCUGUAAACUAACCUGCCAAAACGCAUCUUUGUUCUUCAAUUUCAUCACUUCUACAGUUUCCAGUCAUGUUUUCCCUGAGAAGUUGUCAAGAUAAAGGCACAGGCCCAUUCCUACAUGCUCUGAUCUUUGAGGAGCAUUAGCCAAGCAUCUUGCAUAAGCUACUUUCAUUCAUGAAGCAUGUGCACAUGAGGACCUGUGUCAAGUUGUCGCUACCCCAUGCCACGGCAGUCUGUCUCAGCUCCACCUCAGCGGGACCGCAGCUCAUAGCCCAGGAGGACCGGUAUUGGAAGAGCUGAUGAGCUGAAAGUCAAAUUGCUGGAACAAAAUCAUUUCAACUGGAAAAUCUAUUCAGCUGGAGCCAGGCUGCAGGAGAGGAUGGCGAUCUCAUUUUGCAUAAGACAGCAGCGAAUAAUCUGAUGAUUUUCUGUGACUAAUACAAUAGGUCGUAUAUGAAUGGUCGAUGGAGAGAUGAAAGGUUUCAUAUUCUAUUACCAAAUCCCUGAGCCAUCUGGUUCCUAAUGACUUCUUUCAAAACAAAGAGAAUAAAACUUCUGAGUUGUGCAACGCAUUUUGACAUCCUCUUUUAGACAGAAGAUGGCCAUUGCUUCACAUCGGCAAAGAAGAUCAGUGCUAUCAGUUAAAGAUCCAUCCAUCCCUUGCAGGUUUUUCUGACCACACACCUGGCAAAUAUCCCUUGCUCAAGCUGGUAUUACCCAUCACCAGGAACCAGAAAACAGGGAGCAGCACCUUUCCCACAGUGGGUGCUAGUUCCCAGGGUCAGCAUUUGGGCUCAGGGGAUGCGUGCAGCAUCUCCUUUGCUCUUGGGCUGGCUCUGCUGCAGCUUGGGACAUUUUGGGAAGGAAACCUCAGAAGUGAUCGUAGACAGCACACUCAACUGCCAAGGAGGGGUGCCCCAACCCUUGAUUGGGUAGAAUCACAGAAUCACAGAAUUAAUGGUUUGGGUUGGAAGGGACCUCCAAGCCCACCCAGCCCCAACUCUGCUGUGGGCAGGGCUGCCCCCCACCAGCUCAGGCUGCCCAGGGCCCCAUCCAACUUGACUCUGAAAAGCCAGAAGGCAAAGUGCAUACAGAAAAACCCAGAGGAAGAACACAUUUUGAAAGGAGGAGCUGCCUUUGCAUGCUGAGACCAGGCCUCCAGCACAGCCCAGGCAGGCCAGCUACGCUGCUUCCUUUUGCAUCCCUGAUCCCGAGUACAGUAUCCACACAGAGACAGCUGCUGCAGUGAGAGCCUGUGGUCACCAAAUCCCACACCAUGCUCACCAAACUGGUAAAGUGACCCAAGCUGGCUUGCUGAAAUGACAGCUCAGCUAAUAAAGUCUGUGGUCACGGUGCAACCUGCCUGAGGGAACCCCAGGCAAGAAGCUUAUCCACUGGUGCUUUCACUGUUGGGAUGCUUUCAGUGCUGUGGGGUUUGCUUGGUCCCUAGCACAGCCCUGAGCCCCUCUGGUUGGGCAGCGCUGGGCCGCAGCAAGGCAGCACAGAGGUGCCCACAUCUGCCCAGGCUCCCCAGAAUUUGAGUUAAAACCACACAGACAUGAAGGGGUAUAAAAUGGACAUAUUUAUUAUGCCCUAGUUAUAUAGUUUAGUCAAGCAUAUCAUAACACAACACUGUUUGUGCUAUCUGGGAUUACAUAUCCAAUAAGUACAGUAUAUUAUCAGCAUACUUUAGUGCUAUUAUGUAUAAUUAUAUAUGUUUAUAGAUUCCCCCAUUACACACCAGCUUAGCUCUUGUUACAUUUGUGAUACGCUGCUUGUUGCAUCACGUCAUAAAUGAUACGUUACCUGUAAUUAAGUACAUUUAUAGCUGUGUGCCAUAUUUAUUGCACUCCGCAGGAUUUGCAUCAUGCAUCAGAGUCAUCCUGUUGUUAGGUCAGCUCUUGUUUAUUUGCUUUCUUUCUUUUGAUUCUUUAAACAUCUGUCCUUUAAGUGCUGGGUGCACUCAAUUCAUCCAGUGGUUGGACCUGACUUACCCAACUGCUUAACUCAGUGGGUGAAAUCCUGACUCCCUAAGGCCCCAGCCAAGCACCCCCCCACUUCACUGCACCCUGACUUUCAGCACAUGCAGCUAUUGUUGCACAUCUACCCAAUUCAGCUUAUCCAGGAAGAGCUCUGUUCUUUGGUGUGUUCAGGGUUGCCAUCUAUGUGUACCCAGCCUUCAAGUGCAAGGCCAGUCAGGGGGUGGCAACACUACCUAAAAUCUAGCCUGCCAGCCAUAGCGCCUCUGCAAUUGCUGGCUCAAGGGUAAAGAUUCUUGGGUCUGCAAAUAGCAUCGAUCUGCCUUGCUCCUUUGGUCCUUUCCCUAAUGCCUAUUGAAUUGCUUCUCUCUGUGUAGUGCAUAAUUUAGGAUUGGUUGAGUACAGAGUAUUUUAUUUAUUUAUGUAUUCAAAUUUUUAAAAUGCAUCUCUAGGCAUCUUAGCAGUACACUGGGCGCCUACCACAUAAAUUAAAAAUAACAGCAUAAAGUUAGACAAAGGACCAUCCAUAAAUAACUCCUCCUCGACUCACACCCUCAGCAAUAGCCUCAGCUUGGGACAGGGAAAUAGAUGGGCUUUACAGCUCAUUGGGAAGGCUAAUAAAUCUGGAGGCUGAUGGACCAAAGGGGAAAAUGAGUUUCAAAACAGAGGUGCCCCUCUCCAUCCUUUUCCUGUAGACAACUUGCCUUGAACUUUUCCCCUACCAAGAGGAGGCACAGUCCUGCUGGCCAGCACAGGGCUGGGGACAGGGACUGGCAGGGUCAUGGAAUCACAGAUUCAUAGAAUCACAGAAUCGUUAAAGUUGGAAAAGCCCUCUAAGAUCAGCUAGU